rnacentral:rRNA from 1 species
CCUACGGGAGGCAACAGUGGGGAAUAUUGCGCAAUGGACGAAAGCCUGACGCAGCGACGCCGCGUGAGGGAUGAAGGUCUUCGGAUCGUAAACCUCUGUCAGCAGGGAAGAACGGUCACUGUGCUAAUCAGCAGUGAAUUGACGGUACCUGCAAAGGAAGCACCGGCUAACUCCGUGCCAGCAGCCGCGGUAAUACGGAGGGUGCGAGCGUUAAUCGGAAUUACUGGGUGUAAAGCGCUCGUAGGCGGUAUGUCAAGUCAAGGGUGAAAUCCCCGGGCUCAACGUGGGAACUGCCUUUGAAACUGGCAAACUUGAGUGUGUGAGAGGAUAGUGGAAUUCCAGGUGUAGGAGUGAAAUCCGUAGAUAUCUGGAGGAACAUCAGUGGCGAAGGCGACUAUCUGGCACAUAACUGACGCUGAGGAGCGAAAGCGUGGGUAGCAAACAGGAUUAGAUACCCGAGUAGUC